UACAGUCAUCAAAGAUUGCAUCCUUAGGAAUAGAGUUAAGGUGGGCAUCAGGAUCCAUUUCGCUGGAAGGAGGAGGCAUGCUGCUUGAGCCUGCAGCAGUAGGAACCUGAGCAGAAGAGGACGGAGUCUCACAAGGAGGUGUCGGAGCAGCAGGCAAGAAAAUCGCAGGCGGUGGAGAUGACAGCAUCGGAGCGACCCCAAAAAUUGGACCCAGAGCCAAUGGAGUC
rnacentral:lncRNA from 1 species